AUGCCUCCAGAGAAGAUUAAGAUCCAGGCAAAAAACAUUGAUGCCGCAGCAGGAGAGAUAGUUGAUGUUUUGGAGGAUGCACGCAAAGGAAACGUUAUCUACUUCAAGGGCUGGAGAGGAUUGGGAGCAUCCACAGUUCUCAAUCUGGUAGCCCAACGCCUGAAAUCAUCAACAAGAUCGAGCAAGUUUGAUAAGGUUAUCCAUGUGGACUGCUCCGCGUGGAAAAGCAUGAGGUCUCUGCAAAAGGCAGUAGCGGAGGAGCUGGAGCUUCCGCAGUCCGUGAUGGCCAUCUUCGAUCAGUAUGACAAGGACGACGACUUCAAUGGGAAAGAUGAAGGCUCCAGAGAGGUGAUAGCAGAUAUCAGGAUUGAAAUAUUCAGAAAACUCUAUAACAGUAGAUUUCUGGUGGUUUUCCACAACGGAAGCAACAGAUACAUUGAUUUGUAUGAGUGUGGUGUCCCAGUAAUAUCACUUUUGGGUAACAAGGUCUUGUGGACCUGGCACGGGAGGUUUCGGAUGAUUCUCAGAUUAGAAGAUGGGGAAAAGGUAAAGAUGAAGAGUCAGACAGAUGUUCGCUUAUCUGCUUCUCCUGAAUCUGAAGUUGAAGUGCUAGAUAUACUGCAUGAAGAGGCUUUGGAUGUUGCCAAGUGCACUGGGAUUGUUCAGCCCGACGAUAUGAGCCACAAGAUAGUCAUGGAGUGCCUCAUAUACAGGGCACUGAUUGCUACAGAUUUGAAGGCCCAUGCACCAAACUAUUGGAUCUGUGAUGGUAUUAUACAGGGCCAAGACAAUGCAUCAGCAUGGGACAUUGGCAAUUCUCUUCAGAGAAACAUGAGCUUGGAUUCACCUGUUAUAGGAUCUGAUGAGGCUGCAGCUUUUUUGCUACAUGUAUUGAAUGAUUCACAUGUUAACCGCUGGAAUUUCACCACUCACAAAGAACUGCGAAAUGAUAAAACUCAUGUGCUGCCUCCACAGGUCACAUCGUUCUUCCUUUCUGCAGAUGAACCACCAACAAAUACAACAUCAAUAUUGCCAGUUGGCAUGUUCCAACAUUCACAAAGUAGCAAGCUGCGUGUGUUACAUCUGUCUCAUUGCACCUUCAGUUUUGCAUCUCCUCCCUUCGUCCAUUGUGCCCAACUAAGAUUGCUCCAUCUGGACCAUUGCACAAAUAUCACAGAUGAUGACGAGCAUCCAAGCCACAAUGAAGACAUGUCAUGUUUCCAGAAGCUAUGGGUGAUGGAUCUGAGGUAUACAGAAUGGUACUGGCUACUGUCGGAAAUGAUGAAGAGGUUGAUGGUCGACCUCAGGGAGCUGAAUGUGGAAGGAGUCAAGCAUGGGAGCAUAAGUGAUUUGUGUGGCGGUAGACCAAGCCUUGUAGUACUUCGAGUAACAGUAGCUGAUCCGGUCCCUAUGGAGAACGAAGACACAACUAAUCAAGCACAUUUCCCCAAUAUGUCUAGUACAAACAGCCUUACGACAUCUAGCUUCAUCAACGACGUCCUGCCUCCGUGGCUCGAGUCAUUUAGCUUCAUCAACAUAGCUGCAACUGCUGCCAACAUAUCUAGCAUCUCCUUCCGGGGUUGUUCUCGGUUGAAGAGUAUACUUCUCAAAGGAAAUUUGGGGAGCCUGCAGGAGCUGGACCUCUCGGGCACGGCAGUGAAAACCCUUGACCUCAGAGAAGUGGAAGCUCCAAACUUCAAGCGUGUCAUGCUGCUGGGCUGCGAGAAGCUCCAUGCAAUAUUAUGGCCAGCGUACGAUGAAAUGGUUUGGGAUUUGGAGGAGUUGCACAUCAGCACUGUCCAAUCUGCAUCACCUAACCAGAACAAUUGGGAAGAGAAGACCAAGGAGGCUAGUGUUGCCGGAGGAUCAUCAUCCAUCCUUGGUUUUGGGGAAUCGCAACUAGGCACCGGGCGUAUUGCAUCUUUUGACUUUAAUUGGUACAUAUCUGUUGUGGAUCCAAGGCUCAUGUGGUCGCUUCUGCCCUUUCAGCAAGAAAUUAAGAGAAACUUUGUAUACAUGGAGAUUGAUUCAUCUCCUGCCAGUGGAGCUGCUGUUGGUGGCGGUGAAGUUACUCAAGGCAUCGGGAGCCAGCAACAGUUUGCUCAAUACUUAUAUGCAAGUGAUGUCUUUCAAGAAGAACCGCAAGCUAUCAGUACUAUCGAAGGUGUGAUCAGCUGGAUGUGGGCUUGUCCACCUACUCCUACUCCACUUCCUCAAGACUGGUACUUCCACAUGCAAGGCGAAGAGAAGAUGGAAAGAGGAUCUUUACAGCAACAAUACAACGCCCGAAGGAUUGAUACUGGUGUUGCUUUAGCCCCUGUUUUCAUGUGUGAUAAUGCACGGAUGCUGUAUGUGCAUGAUAGCUAUUCCACUACUUGCAUUCCAUGCCCACAAGGUGCAACGUGGAGGAAUCUUAUAUGGUGCCGAGUUGAGAGGUGCCCCAAGCUUUGCUCUGUCUUUGCUACUCCCCAACUAAGAAGUGGGGAGCACACCUUUUUCUGGCUGUCUACACUCUGGGCAUCCCAGCUCCCUAUGGCGUGCUACAUCUGGAACUGGAGUACAACAUACCAACCAAGUGGAAGAUCCUUCGAAGACCUAGUAUUAUUGCACCUGGACUAUUGCCCCAGGCUCAUACAUGUGCUUCCCUUGUCUGAGCAUAUGGACAUCCUGCCUAGCCUGGAGACGCUCGAGAUCGUGUGUUGCGGUGAUCUGAAGGAAGUCUUCCCUUUGGACCCUAAGCGCCAACAGAAGCGGGAAAUUAUAAGAUUUCCCACGCUAAGGCACAUCCACCUGUACCAGCUCUCCACUCUACAGGGCAUCUGUGGGAGCAGGAUGUCUGCGCCCAAUCUUGAGACCAUCAAGAUUAGGGGCUGCUGGGGCCUUAGCCGCCUGCCGGCCGUCAGCGGCAGCGCCAGGAAGCGGCCUAAGGUGGACUGUGAGAAGGACUUGUGGGACAACCUGAAGUGGGACGGUUUGGAGGCGAAACACGACCCUUCGCUCUAUGAAACACGCCACUCGCGAUACUACAAGAAAGCCCACCUGCCAAGAGGCACCGUGCUCAGGUAA
rnacentral:rRNA from 1 species